CCCACCGUGCGCAGGGCGGCCGCCGCCCCGGUACCCGGUCCUUCCCGGGGCGUAACCUCUUCGGGCUCUGGAACCCGGGCCGCCGGUGCCUUUCCGGCCCCGGGGGAAAGCGGCGUGGCAGUCAUAAGAGCAGGAACCAAUGCUACUGAAGGAAGAAGUCCAAGCUGCACUCAAGGCACUGGCAAAAAACAAGGCUGCAGGAAUUGACGGAAUACCCAUUGAUAAGUUUCAAGAAACGGAUGCAGGUCCAGAAGUACUCACUCAUCUAUGCCAGGAAAUAUGGAAGACAGCUACCUGGCCAACCACCUGGAAGAGAUCUAUAUUUAUGCCUAUUCCCAAGAAAGGCCAUCCCACUGGAUGUGCAAAUUAUCGAACAAUAUCAUUAAUGUCACAUGCAAGCAAAAUUUUGCUGAAGAUCAUUCAAAAGCAGCUGCAGCAAUAUAUCAAUGGGGAACCAGAAAUUCAGGCUCGUUUCAGAAGAGGACCAGGAACCAGGUAUAUCAUUGCUGAUGUCACAUAGGUCCUGGCUGAAAGCAGAGAAUACCAGAAGAAUGUUUACCUGUGUUUUAUUGACUGUGCAGAGGCAUUUGACUUUGUGGAUCAUAACAAGUUACGGAUAACAUUUCGAAGAAUGGGAAUUCCAGAACACUUAAUUGUGCUCAUGAGGAACCUGUACAUAGAUCAAGAAGCAGUCGUUCGAACAGAACAACGGGCCACUGGGUGGUUUAAAGUCAGGAAUGGUGUGCGUCAGGGUUGUAUCCUUUCACCAUGCCUAUUCAGUCUGUAUGAUGGGCAAAUAAUAUGAGAAGCUGGACUCUAAGAAGGAGAACGGGGCAUCGGGAUUGGAGAAAGACUCAUAAACAACCUGCGUUAUGCAGAUGACAUAAGCUUGCUUGCUGAAAGUGAAGAGGACUUGAAGCACUUACUAAUGAAGAUCAAAGACCACAGCCUUCAGUAUGGAUUACAUUUCAACAUAAAGAUAACAAAAAUCCUCACAACUGGACCAAUAAACAACAUCAUGAUAAACGGGGAAAAGACCAAAGUUGUCAAGGGUUUCAUUUUACUUGGAUCCACAGUCAACACCCAUGGAAGUAGCAGUCAAGAGAUCAAAAGACACAUUUAUUGGGCAAAUCUGCUGCAAAAGACUGUUUUAAAGUGUUGAAAAGCAAAGAUGUCACCUUGAAGAUUAAGGUGCACCUGACCCAAGUCUUGGUAUUUUCAUCCGCCUCCUAUGCAUGUGAAAGCUGGACAAUGAAUAAAGAAGACUGAAGAAGAAUUGACACCUUUGAAUUCAGGUGUUGGAGAAGAAUAUUGAAUAUACCAUGGACUGCCAAAAAGAUGAACAAAUCUGUCUUGGAAGAAGUACAACCAGAAUGCUCCGUAGAACCAAAGAUGGCAAGACUAUGUCUCACAUACUUGGGACAUGUCAGGAGGGAUCAGUCCCUGGAGAAAGACAUGUUUGGUAAAGUAGAGAGUCAGCGAAGAAGAGGAAGACCCUCAAUGAGAUGGAUUGAGACAGUGGCUUCAACAAUGGGUUUAAGCAUAACAACGAUUUUGAGGAUGGCGCAGGACAGGGCAGUGUUCCAUUCUGUUGUACGUAGAGUCGCUGUGAGUUGGAACUGACCUGAUGGCAUCUAACAGCAACAACAGCAACUCUAACCCAUAUAUCUAACUGCUAAAUCUACUCUUGAAGAUUUGUCCCAGAAGAAUCUCAAACUUAGCUAUCUAAAAUUGAACUACAUUAAUAAAUGUAUCCCUUCUUCAUUCUUUGCGUCUCAGUUCAAAUCUUAUCUGUCUCCUGAAUAGCUCUGUAAACCGUCCCCUCCACUCCUCUCCUGCCAUUACUCUCCUCUGGCCCUCCUUACCUCUGUCUCCCUGCCGUGUUUGUGGCCCUGAGACGUCCACUCUCCAGACUGCUGCUAGUGUAAUCUUCCCAAUGUGCAGCCUAAGAAGGCCAUUCCUUGGCUUAAAAACCCUUCAGAUCUUCCCCUUAGCAUGGUUGUCCUCAACUCUGGGUUUGUGAUCUAUUGUGAGAUGUGUCACAAGUAGCUUAUUACUACUACUGAUCAAAGUACUGAAGUUUGUGGAUGGUUUGCUUUUUUAAAACUUAAGUUUUAGAACACAUGCAAGGUUAACUCCAAACAUUGUCAGCCUCACAGUGUCACUCUCAUUCUGAUGUGCUUUUUUCAGUGUGACAUUAGUGCUGGUACCAGUAAUUGCACAAGAUCCAGGAUCUACCCAAGUUAGUCUGUCAGGAAUUAACGAUCCUAAAGUGAUAGCCUAAGGUAAACAGUCCCUUACAAAAUAAAAUCUAAAUUCUUUAACUUGGUGCAUUCUAUUUAUCUUUAAAUCAACCCGAGGCCCCACUCCUCUGGGAGGCCCUCCCUGUUUCCGGUAGCACCUUAUACCAUGUACCUUACUGCAGUGUAAUGUGCCCAUUUACAAGUUCUCUCGUCCUGAAUCGGGGCCAGCAGGGCAGUUACUCUCUUACAUUUGUGUCUUUAGGGCACAGUGCCUGUCUCAUAGUAGAGAUUUGGCGAAUUUUUGUUAAAUAAUUGAAUGGAUGUCUUGCUUGGUAAAGUGCAGAGUCAGUGAAAAAGAGGAAGACCCUCGACGAGAUGGAUUGACGCAGUGGCUGCAUCAGUGGGGUCAAGCAUAGCAACGACUGUGAGGAUGGUGCAGGACCAGGCAGUGUUUCAUUCUGUUGUGCAUAGGGUCACUGAGUCGGAACUGACUCGAUGGCACCUAACAACAACAACAAUUGAAUGGAUAUUCUGGUUCCUUCUUCUCUGCCUGUCCCUUAAAUGAGAAUGUUUGCAGAAAAGAGAAUUACUGGUUAAUUGGGAAACAGAACAGGAUUGGUGCCUUGGGGUAAAGCUAGUAGGUCGAGUUGAAGAUUCUGAGGUCUGACCCAGGCCAUAGUCCCAGCAGACAGGUUCUCCCUUUUCUCUACCAUUGUCAGUGUGGACAUUACAGGGAUGGGCCUAAUUUUUGUGCCCUGUUCUACGUCCUCACUGAUAAUGAUGAAGUGACAAACUGCUGCUGGAGACCUGGUGUGAGUUCUGCUCUCUGUCCUGCCACUAACAGUCACUUACCACUCUGGGCUUUUAUUCCUUCAGGUAUAUAACAAGAGCUGAGGUAAGUCCCCUCCAGUUGUAACUAGAGCAGUUCUUCUGGAGCAAGGGUUGAACCUCCCAUUUCAUUUGCACCUUUACCAACCCUUCAUAAGUGUCACUUCAUGUGCUUUGCAUGCUUCAUAGCAUUUGAUUUUGUCACUGGCUGAGUUUUGGAGAGACAGGCUUGAAUUGAUCACUUCUUGAUACUUUCAACAAUCUUGUGGCUGGAAGGAGCUUCUCCGUAUCAUACCGGCCAUUUAGAGUCUCCCUUAAGCCACCUCAGCCCCUUGUCAUUAAUUAAAGGUGGUCCGGCCAUCUUUGGUGAUCCUUCGUGUAAACAUCACUCUGUGUCAGAACGCACUGGUUUUAAAUCUUAAUCUUCCUAUUUUAUCUACUUCUUGUUCAAGUCUGAAGGAUGGAGACUAGUUACUUCCAGACAUUUAUGGCAGAAUCAUUAAGCCACUUUCCUCUGAGUCUUCUCUUUCCAAAGGAGACAAAUCCUAGUUAGUUUACUGGGUUUUUCCUUCCCCAUCACUUUCUUUUCUUCCCCCCACCUAUAUGCUGCCUACAGGAGAGACACCUUAGACUUAAAGACACAAACUAAAACUCAAAGGAUGGAAAAAAUAUAUCAAUCAAACAACAAUCAAAAAGCAGGAGUGGCAAUAUUAAACUCUCACAAAAUAGACUUUAAAGUAAAAUCCACCACAAAGGAUAAGGAAGGACACUAUAUAAUGAUUAAAGGGUCAGUAUACCAGGAGGAUAUAACCAUAAUAAAUAUUUAUACACCCAACGACAGUUCUCCAAAAUACAUAAAACAAACUCUAACAGCAUUGAAAAGAGAGGCAGCUCCACAAUAAUAGUAGAAGACCAACACACCACUUUCACUGAAGGACAGAACAUGCAGAAAGAAGCUCAGUAAAGACAUGGAAGAUUUAAAUGGCACACUCUACCAAUUUGACCUCAUAGACAUAUAGAGAACACUCCACCUAACAGCACAUGGAACAUUCUCCAGAAUAGACCACAUAUUAGGUCAUAAAGUAAGCCUUAACAGAAUCCAAAACAUCGAAAUAUUACAAAGCAUCUUUUAUGACCAUAAAGCCAUAAAAGUAGAAAUCAGAAAAAGCAAGGGAAAAAAAUCAAACACCUGGAAACUGAACAACACCUUACUCAAAAACUGUUGGGUUAUAGAAGAAAUUAAGGAUGGAAUAAAGAAAUUCGUAGAAUCCAAUGAGAAUGAGACCACUUCCUACCAGAACCUUUGGGACAUAGUAAAAGCUGUGCUCAGAGGUGACUAUAUAGCAAUAAAUGCAAACAUCCAAAAAAGAAGAAAGGGCCAAAAUCAGAGAAUUAUCCCUACAACUCGAACAAAUAGCAGCAAAAGAAGCCCUCAGACACCAGGAAAAAGCGAAUAAUAAAAAUCAGAGCAGAAUUAAAUAGAGAACAGAAGAACGAUUGAAAGAGUUAACAAAACCAAAAGCUGGUUCUUGGAGAAGAUGGGGGGGGGGGGAAACAUUGGCUAAACUGACAACAGAAAAACAGGAGAGGAAGCAAAUAACCCGAAUAAGAAAUGAGAUAUUGGCAAUAUCACAGUAGACCUAAUUAAAUUAAAAGAACCAUAACAGAAUGCUGUGAAAAAUUGUGCUCUUAACAAAUUUGAAAACCUAGAGGAAAAGGACAAAUUUCUAGAAACACACUACCUAUCUAAGCUAACACAGAGAUAGAACAACUAAAUAAAUCUAUAAGAAAAGAAGAGAUUGAAAAGGUAAUUUAAAAAUGCCCAACAAAAAAAAGCCCUGGCCCUGAUGGCUUCACUGGAGAAAUCUACCAAACUUUCAGAGAAGAGUUAACACCACUACUACUAAAGAUAUUUCAGAGCAUAGAAAAGGACAGAAUACUCCCAAACUUAUUCUAUGAAGCCAGCAUAUCCCUGAUACCAAAACCAAGUAAAGACACCACAAAAAGAAUUGCAGACCAAUAUCCCUCAUGAACUUAGACGCAGAAAUCCUCAACAAAAUUCUAGCCAGUAGAAUUCAACAAUAUAUCAAAAAAAUAAUUCACCAAGUGGGAUUCAUACCAGGUAUGCAGGGAUGGCUCAACCUUAGAAAAAGAAUCAAUGUAAUCCAUCACAUAAAUAAAAGAACCACAUGAUCUUACCAAUUGAUGCAGAAAAGGGAUUUGACAAAGUCCAACACCAAUUUAUAAUAAGGACUCAAAGCAAAAUAGGAAUAGAAGGGAAAUUCCUCAACAUAAUAAAGGGCAUUUAUACAAAGCCAACAGCCAACAUUAUCCUAAAUUUAGAGAAUCUGAAUGCCUUCCCCUUGGGAACGGGAACCAGACAAGGAUGCCCCUUAUCAUCACUCUUAUUCAACAUUGUGCUGGAGGUCCUAGCCAGAGCAGUUAGGCUAGACAAAGAAAGGAAGGGGAUCCAAAUUGGUAAGAAAGGAAAAAAAAAAAAAAAGGAACAAGUAAAAGUAUAUUUGCAGAUGAUAUAAUCUUAUACACAGAAAACCCUAAAGAAUCCACAAGAAAACUGGAGCUAAUAGAAGAGUUCAGUAAAGUAUCAGGAUACAAGAUGAUGUUGUUAGGUACCGUCUGGUUGAUUCUGACGCAUAGCGACUGCAUGCCCAACAGAAUGAAACAUUGCCCGGUCCUGUGACAUCCUUACAGUCUUUCUUAUGCUUGAGCCCAUUGACUGACCCUGUAGUUUACCAAGCAUGAUGUCCUUCUCCAGGGACUGAUCCUUCCCGUCAACAUGUCCAAAGUAUGUGAGACACAGUCUCGCCAUCCUUGCUUCUAAGGAACAUUCUGGUUGUACUCCUAAGACAGAUUUGUUCAUUCUUUUGGCAGUCCAUGGUAUAUUCGAUAUUCAAGAUAAACAUACAAAAUCAGUUGGAUUCCUUUACACCAACAAAGAGAAUGUCGAAGAGGAAAUUACCAAAUCAGUACUAUUUACAGUAGUCCCCAAGAAGAUAAAAUACUUAGGAAUAAAUCUAGCCAGAGACAUAAAAGACCUAUACAAAGAAAACUACAAGACGCUAGUACAAGAAACCAAAAGAGACCUACCUAAGUGGAAAAACAUACCUUGCUCAUGGAUAGGAAGACUCAAUAUUGUGAAAAUGUCUAUUCUACCCAAAGUGAUUUAUAGAUACAGUGCAAUCCUGAUCCAAAUUCCAAUGGCAUUUUUUAAUGAGAUGGAGAAACAAAUCAUCAGCUUCAUAUGGAAAGGGAAGAGGCCCCAGAUAAGCAUUACUGAAAAAGAACAAAGUGGGAGGCCUCACAGUACCCGAUUUUAGAACCUAUUAUACCGCCACAGUAGUCAAACCAGCCUGGUACUGGUACAACAAAUACAUAGACCAAUGGAACAGAAUUGAGAAUCCAGACUUAAAUUCAUCUACCUAUGAUAAGCUGAUAUUUGAAAAAGGCCCAAAGUUCGUUAAAUGGGGAAAAGACGGCCUCUAACAAAUGGUGCUGGUGUAACUGGAUACCCAUCUGCAAAAAAAAUAAGACCCAUACCUCACACCAUGAGCAAAAACUAACUGAAAAUGGAUCAAAGACCUAAAUAUGAAAUCUAAAAUGAUAAAGAUCAUGGAAGAAAAAAUGGGGACAAAGCUAGGAGCCCUAAUACAUGACAUAAACAGUAUACAAAACAUUACUAAAAAUACACAAACACCAGAAGAGAAACUAGAUAACUGGGAGUGCCUAAAAGUCAAAUGCUUAUUAAACAGAGAAGAAAAUAUUCUUUGAUCGUUACG